rnacentral:rRNA from 1 species
AGUCUAGUGCCAGCAGCCGCGGUAAUUCCAGCUCCAAUAGCGUAUAUUAAAGUUGCUGCGGUUAAAAAGCUCGUAGUUGGAUCUCAGUCUUGGUCGGACGGUUCAUUUCACGAUGAUACAGUUCGAAUCGGACAAUUCGCCGCCUUUCUCCGUAUGCUCUUGAUUGAAGUGUGCGGGGGAAGUGGCACGUUUACUUUGAAAAAAUUAGAGUGCUCAAAGCAGGCUAUAGCCUGAAUCUUCGUGCAUGGAAUGAUGGAAUAGGGCCUCGGUUCUAUUUUGUUGGUUUCCGGAACUCGAGGUAAUGAUUAAGAGGGACGGACGGGGGCAUUCGUAUUGCGACGUUAGAGGUGAAAUUCUUAGAUCGUCGCAAGACGAACUACUGCGAAAGCAUUUGCCGAGAAUGUUUUCAUUAAUCAAGAACGAAAGUCAGAGGUUCGAAGGCGAUCAGAUACCGCCCUAGUUCUGACCAUAAACGAUGCCAACUGGCGAUCCGUCGGUGUUAAUUCAAAUGACCCGACGGGCAGUCUCCGGGAGACCAAAGUUUUUGUGUUCCGGAGGAAGUAUGGUUGCAAAACUGGAACUUAAAGGAAUUGACGGAAGGGCACCACCAGGAGUGGAGCCUGUGGCUUAAUUUGACCCAACACGGGAAAUCUCACCAGGCCCGGACACCGGCAGGAUUGACAGAUUGAGAGCUCUUUCAUGAUUCGGUGGGUGGUGGUGCAUGGCCGUUCUUAGUUGGUGGAGCGAUUUGUCUGGUUAAUUCCGAUAACGAACGAGACCCCGUCCUACUCACUAGACUGAGGAUCAUUUCUGUCCUCACCGUCUUCUUAGAGGGACAACUGGAAUCGAUCUAGCUACAUGAAAUGGGGCAAUAACAGGUCUGUGAUGCCCUUAGAUGUUCUGGGCUGCACAUGCGCUACACUGAAGGGAUCAUCGUGUUUAUCCUAACUUGAGAAAGCCGGGGAACCCGUUGAAUUCUCUUCGUGCUAGGGAUUGAGGCUUGCAAUUUUUUCUCAUGAACGAGGAAUUCCCAGUAAGUGCGUGUCAUAAGCUCGCGCUGAUUACGUCCCUGCCCUUUGUACACACCGCCCGUCGCUACUACCGAUUGGAUGAUUUAGUGAGGCAUUCGGACUGACUGUUAGUGGGAUCUCGUGUCCUGCUGAUAUGUUGGAAAGAUUUUCAAACUGUAUCAUCUAGA